UACGUAGGGGGCAAGCGUUGUCCGGAAUCAUUGGGCGUAAAGCGCGCGUAGGCGGCCCGGUAAGUCCGUUGUGAAAGUCAAAGGCUCAACCUUUGAACGCCGAUGGAUACUGCCGGGCUAGAGUCCGGAAGAGGCGAGUGGAAUUCCUGGUGUAGCGGUGGAAUGCGCAGAUAUCGGGAGGAACACCAAUGGCGAAGGCAGCUCGCUGGGACGGUACUGACGCUGAGACGCGAAAGCGUGGGGAGCAAACAGG
rnacentral:rRNA from 1 species